CACACUCACUUGCAGCAGCUUCGUCGUUUGCGAGCACUGCCAGUCAGGCCCUCAAGAACGCUCCAACUACGCCAAGUAGCAUUGACUUUGACCGUGCAUAGUAAGUCGCCGUCAACAAAUCCAAAUUUAGUUUCAACUCGUACAGCAACGAGUACGGAACGAAGUGGCCAUGGCGGCCGAGUGCGUCACAGCCGAGCGCAAAAACUCGGACGCGACGCUUUUCGUGGGCACACGCAAGUGUACGUGUGUGUGUCCGUGUGUGUGCGGCUGGCAGUUAGCUAAGACAAAGGCGUAAUGUAGCAUAAUUUUUGGCGCGCGCGCUGACAGUGAAAGAACGUGUCACAAACAAAACUGAAUGUCCAAACAGUUGAAGGGUACAGUAAACAAACAGCGAGCAUACUUUGUGGCGGUCUAGCAAAAUUCAUUUGCUAGCAGUAACUGAUAUGUGCUUUUGGACGAGUGCGAGUGUUGUUUAUUUUUAGUAGAAAUAACUAAUUUUUUUCUGUAUUUUUUUGUUUGCUUUUUGCUGCCACGUCAUGAGCUAAACCUUUGCGUGUAGUGGUGGUGCGUUGACACAAUAAAAGGGCGCGCGCGUCGCUUGUUGACACUGAUAUGUAGUGACAGUUAACAUUUGUUUGCAAAGUAGCGGAGUGGGGAAGGCGCAAACAAAAAACGAAGAGUGAGAACACUUGAAACAAUGCGAGAAAGAAAACAAACGCUUUCACCAACUUUUUUACACGCACGCGAUAGACAGGUGAAACGACAAACGCAUGUGUACAUAAUUUGUUGCGUGUAUUUAGGCGCAUAGCCCCGUGAGACGUCGAACAUACUUAAUGUAAACAUCAUAGCUAGCUAGUCUGCAUCGCUUAGAGGGUUACUAGCUCUAACACAGCCAGUGUCUGCUAAUCAUAAAAUGCGUGAUGACAAUUCAAUAAGUCCAAAGGAAAUUGGCAAAGCCAGCAGCAGCAGCAUGGUCAGCUAUUUGUAUAACGUCUGUCGCCUGUCAAAACACUUGCCACGGUAAACACGUCUCACACCUUUUUCGCGUUGCCGUGGCAUACUUUUCGGCGCUCAGCGGUGUAAAGUGCAAAUGCGUACGGCAACACGCCCCCGUAUUGCCCCCAACCAACUCAACAGCAGGUAACAUAGCUGAAAGCAUAUUAAGGCGGUUAUCAGGAAGAACUAACUGGCAUGAAACAUAGGAUUUUCGGCAUUACAACAGUGGCAUCAUUACCGAUUAAGUUCUUGAACAUAAAAAGCUAAGGACUCAAUGCACCUAUCGGCAACCAAUGCCAGCGUAAAUUUGCGCUCAAAAGCUCCACAGCAAGCGCCGUUAAUCAACUUUGCAAAUAUAUAAAUUUUAUUUAAAGCCAGGUGAAUCGCUGCCAAAAACAUGUUGGACAUUAAUGCAAUGCAAAAGUCAACUUUGAAUAAUUAAGCGCGCAAUUAAGAGAAAAACAGCUUCAUAUUUCAGCAAACUUUUCUAUAGACGCACGCUGGCUGUGCAAGGGACGGCGAGAGCUGCCAACUUGCUCAAAGACUGAUGGAUGUGGAAAUUAAGUGAAUACAAAAAAAAAAAAAGUAUUGUAAAAACAAGUGUCAAGCGAGAAUUUUUUAAAGUUA
rnacentral:lncRNA from 1 species